CCUACGGGUGGCAGCAGUGAGGAAUAUUGGUCAAUGGGCGCAAGUCUGAACCAGCCAAGCCGCGUGCAGGAUGACGGCCCUAUGGGUUGUAAACUUCUUUUAUAUGAGGAUAAAGUCCAGUAUGUGUAUUUCUCUGAAAGUACCUUAUGAAUAAGGAUCGGCUAACUCCGUGCCAGCAGCCGCGGUAAUACGGAGGAUUCGAGCGUUAUCCGGAUUUAUUGGGUUUAAAGGGUGCGUAGGCGGGCUGAUAAGUUAGUGGUGAAAUCUUGAGGCUCAACUGUGGAAUUGCAUUUGAUACUGUCAGGCUAGAGAGUAGUUGCGGUAGGCGGAAUGUAUGGUGUAGCGGUGAAAUGCUUAGAGAUCACACAGAACACCGAUUGCGAAGGCAGCUUACCAAGCUAUUUCUGACGUUGAGGCACGAAAGUGUGGGUAGCAAACAGGAUUAGAUACCCCAGUAGUC
rnacentral:rRNA from 1 species